UGGGGAAUUGUUCGCAAUGGGCGCAAGCCUGACGACGCAACGCCGCGUGGAGGAUGAAGGUCUUCGGAUUGUAAACUCCUGUUGCCCGGGACGAAUGGCUCCAACCUAAUACGUUGGAGUGUGACGGUACCGGGUGAGGAAGCCCCGGCUAACUCUGUGCCAGCAGCCGCGGUAAUACAGAGGGGGCAAGCGUUGUUCGGAAUUACUGGGCGUAAAGGGCGCGUAGGCGGCCUGUUAAGUCGAACGUGAAAUCCCCGGGCUCAACCCGGGAACUGCGUCCGAUACUGGCAGGCUUGAAUCCGGGAGAGGGAUGCGGAAUUCCAGGUGUAGCGGUGAAAUGCGUAGAUAUCUGGAGGAACACCGGUGGCGAAGGCGGCAUCCUGGACCGGCAUUGACGCUGAGGCGCGAAAGCCAGGGGAGCAAACGGG
rnacentral:rRNA from 1 species